GACGUAGGGCGCGAGCGUUGUCCGGAUUUAUUGGGCGUAAAGAGCUCGUAGGCGGCUUGUCGCGUCGACUGUGAAAUCCCGCGGCUCAACUGCGGGUCUGCAGUCGAUCACGGGCAGGCUAGAGUUCGGUAGGGGAGACUGGAAUUCCUGGUGUAGCGGUGAAAUGCGCAGAUAUCAGGAGGAACACCGGUGGCGAAGGCGGGUCUCUGGGCCGAUACUGACGCUGAGGAGCGAAAGCGUGGGGAGCGAACAGG
rnacentral:rRNA from 1 species